rnacentral:rRNA from 1 species
CCUACGGGAGGCUGCAGUAGGGAAUCUUCCACAAUGAGCGAAAGCCUGAUGGAGCAACGCCGCGUGGGUGAAGAAGGUCUUCGGAUCGUAAAACGCUGUUGUUAGAGAAGAAAGUGCGUGAGAGUAACUGUUAACGUUUCGACGGUACCUAACCAGAAAGCGACGGCUAACUAGGUGCCAGCAGCCGCGGUAAUACGAAGGUGGCAAGCGUUAUCCGGAUAUAUUGGGCGUAAAGGGAACGCAGGCGGUCUUUUAAGUCUGAAGUGAAAGCCUUCGGCUUAACCGGAGUAGUGCAUUGGAAUCUGGGCGAGUUGAGUGCAGAAAAGGGGAGGGGGACUCCAUGUUGAGGGGGUGA